rnacentral:rRNA from 1 species
UGAGGAAUAUUGGGCAAUGCCCGCAAGGGUGACCCAGCAACGCCGCGUGGAGGAUGAAUGUCGUAAGAUUGUAAACUCCUGUUAGAGGGGAAGAAUAGUACCGGUUGGACCGGUAUAUGACUGUACCCUCAGAGAAAGCCCCGGCUAACUACGUGCCAGCAGCCGCGGUCAUACGUAGGGGGCAAGCGUUGUCCGGCUUUACUGGGUGUAAAGGGCGCGCAGGCGGGAUAAAAAGUCAGUGGUGAAAUCCUACAGCUUAACUGUAGAACUGCCUGUGAUACUUUUAUUCUUGAGUUCGGGAGAGAGAGACGGAAUUCCAGGUGUAGUGGUGAAAUACGUAGAUAUCUGGAAGAACACCAGUUGCGAAGGCGGUCUCUUGGUCCGACACUGACGCUGAGGCGCGAAAGCGUGGGGAGCAAACA